rnacentral:rRNA from 1 species
GUAGUAGUGGGUGUAGCGUACCUACUAGCCUACGACGGGUACGGGUUGUGAGAGCAAGAGCCCGGAGAUGGAUUCUGAGACACGAAUCCAGGCCCUACGGGGUGCAGCAGGCGCGAAAACUUUACAAUGCUGGCAACAGCGAUAAGGGAACCUCGAGUGCCAGGUUACAAAUCUGGCUGUCGUGAUGCCUAAAAAGCAUUGCAUAGCAAGGGCCGGGCAAGACCGGUGCCAGCCGCCGCGGUAACACCGGCGGCUCGAGUGGUAACCGUUAUUAUUGGGUCUAAAGGGUCUGUAGCCGGCCGGAUAAGUCUCUUGAGAAAUCCAGCAGCUCAACUGUUGGGCUUUCAGGAGAUACUGUUCGGCUCGAGGCCGGGAGAGGUGAGAGGUACUUCAGGGGUAGGGGUGAAAUCUUGUAAUCCUUGAAGGACCACCAGUGGCGAAGGCGUCUCACCAGAACGGACCUGACGGCAAGGGACGAAAGCUAGGGGCACGAACCGGAUUAGAUACCCGGGUAGUCCUAGCCGUAAACGAUACUCGCUAGGUGUCGGCCACGGUGCGACCGUUGUCGGUGCCGUAGGGAAGCCGUGAAGCGAGC